rnacentral:rRNA from 1 species
GAUGAACGCUGGCGGCGUGCCUAAUACAUGCAAGUCGAGCGAACAGACGAGGAGCUUGCUCCUCUGACGUUAGCGGCGGACGGGUGAGUAACACGUGGAUAACCUACCUAUAAGACUGGGAUAACUUCGGGAAACCGGAGCUAAUACCGGAUAAUAUAUUGAACCGCAUGGUUCAAUAGUGAAAGACGGUUUUGCUGUCACUUAUAGAUGGAUCCGCGCCGCAUUAGCUAGUUGGUAAGGUAACGGCUUACCAAGGCAACGAUGCGUAGCCGACCUGCGAGGGUGAUCGGCCACACUGGAACUGAGACACGGUCCAGACUCCUACGGGAGGCAGCAGUAGGGAAUCUGCCGCAAUGGGCGAAAGCCUGACGGAGCAGCGCCGCGUGAGUGAUGAAGGUCUUCGGAUCGUAAAACUCUGUUAUUAGGGAAGAACAAAUGUGUAAGUAACUAUGCACGUCUUGACGGUACCUAAUCAGAAAGCCACGGCUAACUACGUG